rnacentral:rRNA from 1 species
GACGAACGCUGGCGGCGUGCUUAACACAUGCAAGUCGAACGGAAAGGCCCUGCUUUUGUGGGGUGCUCGAGUGGCGAACGGGUGAGUAACACGUGAGUAACCUGCCCUUGACUUUGGGAUAACUUCAGGAAACUGGGGCUAAUACCGGAUAGGAGCUCCUGCUGCAUGGUGGGGGUUGGAAAGUUUCGGCGGUUGGGGAUGGACUCGCGGCUUAUCAGCUUGUUGGUGGGGUAGUGGCUUACCAAGGCUUUGACGGGUAGCCGGCCUGAGAGGGUGACCGGCCACUUUGGGCUGGAGUGGCGGCCGAGCUCCCUACGGGAGCGAGAAGGGGGAAAUAUUCCAAAUGGGGGGGGAGCUGUAUCCAGCCGCCCCGUGGGGGGAAGCACGGCUUUCGGUUUGUACCCCGUUUUCCCCUGAAAAGAAGGGGGAGUGGGGUUAGGGGGAAAAAAGGCCCCGCCAAACUCCGCC